GAUGAACGCUGGCGGCGUGCCUAAUACAUGCGAGUCGAGCGAAUGGAUUAAGAGCUUGCUCUUAUGAAGUUAGCGGCGGACGGGUGAGUAACACGUGGGUAACCUGCCCAUAAGACUGGGAUAACUCCGGGAAACCGGGGCUAAUACCGGAUAAUAUUUUGAACUGCAUGGUUCAAAAUUGAAAGGCGGCUUCGGCUGUCACUUAUGGAUGGACCCGCGUCGCAUUAGCGAGUUGGUGAGGUAACGGCUCACCAAGGCAACGAUGCGUAGCCGACCUGAGAGGGUGAUCGGCCACACUGGGACUGAGACACGGCCCAGACUCCUACGGGAGGCAGCAGUAGGGAAUCUUCCGCAAUGGACGAAAGUCUGACGGAGCAACGCCGCGUGAGUGAUGAAGGCUUUCGGGUCGUAAAACUCUGUUGUUAGGGAAGAACAAGUGCUAGUUGAAUAAGCUGGCACCUUGACGGUACCUAACCAGAAAGCCACGGCUAACUACGUGCCAGCAGCCGCGGUAA
rnacentral:rRNA from 1 species